UUUAGAACCAAAUUUUAUUAAAGAAAAACCUGUAGUGCAGGUUCUCAGGACAAUUGCAUACCUUUGGAUGCAGUGGAGUACACAGGUACGUAUACAGUAGUUUGCCUGCUACAUGUUGAGAAGCUGAAAGAGACCGUGAUAAUCUGUACUGCACAGUUCAUCACCAUCAUUAGAAGUUGCCAAAAACUUGGUUGUGGAUCACUAACAGAUACUUGGUUAUGUGUGUUCACUACAUAUUGCACAAGACUUUUGAUUAAGCUAUUAAUUGUGCAAUUGAAUCACAGUUAAGUGUUACAUUAAGCAUAUUCAAACAUAUAUUUCUUGGGUUUUAUUUGCUCUGUUUUGUUUUUUUCUCAAAAACAGCACGUCACUACAAAACUGCCAUUAAAUGUUACAUAUUUACAAAAAUAUACAAAUAGCAUUUUUCCCCAUUUAUGACAAUGACCAGUUGUGGAUUCAUUUCAUUCUUCCCUUGAGCCCUGAUACCGUAUACAAAGAAGCCUGCUCAAAGUCAAGGUCUCCUGAAACAAAAUUAGGUAAAGGCAUGUUCUGUUUUCAUAAACACUAGAACGUGCAAAGGCAGAAGGAGAGGACUGUGUAGUCACGUGUGUUGAAGGGAUGGACUAUAGCAUACUGAUGACUACUAAGAGCCUUUACAAGGAUUUGAAGGGCCUCUUUGUCAGAAAUACGGUUAGAAACAGAGUGUUAAGCAUUUACUGAUGAUAUUCUGGAAAAGCAGUCAAAAGCAUUUAAAAAACUAAGUUAUACAUUGGUUGUAAUUAGCUAACACCUAUCCAAAGUACUCUUAUGCUAACCAUGGGAAUACAGGUGAAAACCAGCUGGUCACCUGUGUGAGUACAGAUGCAGCAAGAUGAGGACUGACUUUAGCCUGCAGCUGCAUCUCAAAUUCACUGUGGGUGAGCACCUUUCUGCCAUAACACAAAGCUGAACCAACAAAGUCUGUGGAACUGCAUGGUCAUAAUUUAGGGUAGAAUUUAGCCCUGCAAUACCAAAUAAGUAAAGAAAUAAGUAAAGCUCCUCAUGAACAACAAGGAAGCAAGAAAUACUUUGUGAAUCUUCACAAGAAGUAUGUCAAGUCUAAUUCUUACUUUAUUAGCUUUCACAUUUUUACCAAGAGCUGUAGCUCUAAUUAGCCAAAAAUAUGAUUUGGGCUUAGUUUAAUUACAAGGUUUUUCUCCUUUUGUUCUCAUGGUUAAUGCCAGAAAAAUCUAUAUGAUUUCUCUGUCUGAGUCUGAAAUGAGAGUUUUAGACCCACCUGUGCUGAAACAGGCACAGAUGCACUGUAAAUAUGCCAAUAUCCUUUGCUCUUAAAAUGGUAAAUUCUCCCACUCUAACUCUCAUUAUCUUCCCAAAUCUUCCUCCAAUACUUAAUCCAGGAUAAACUGAUAUUCCUAGUGCAACUUCAUAAAUACAGAGCAAUGAUGCUAUGAUAAUUUCAUGUAGGUGAAGACAGACAUUAGUUUAUGUCUCCUAAAACCACACUUGCAAUAUACUAGGGUGAUACCCUUUAGAACCACCUCCCUUUUGCAAAGAAGCCUAUCUAUAGUUAAUGGAAAGGUAAAUCACAGUAGCUGUACAUAUUUAUAAAUACAACUGCCAAGUAAAGAACCAAAGUGGAAGCUUCCCACAGUGCCCUGCCAGCUGAUCAAGUUCCCCACAUCUUCCAAUCUGCUAUUCCUUUGCAAUUUUUUUCUUGUAUCUUUUUCUCAGCCACACAGAAGAGGAUAAAAAUGAAUUAAUGCCCUUUUGACAUCAACCCAACUGGUAGAACCACAGUCAGAGAAAAGCAACUCAGAAGAAACUGGGAUUAAGAGCAGAGAAUUCAAGUAUACUUCUCCAUUUGAUUACGUUUUUCCUCCAGAGCCUUCUGCACUGCAGUAAGAGCAGCCCAUGACUUACACCCAUGAGAAAAUAUAUCACUGCUUGUCAGCGACAAAUAAACAGAGAGAACUGUACUCAAAUGCCUCGUGUGUAUGUGAAAUGGAGGAACUCUGUUCCUAAAAUUAAAAUUUCUAGUCACAUGUGCAGUGAACUCCAGUGGCUGGUGUUUACCCUCAGGAAUACCGUACCAACUCCAUUCAUUCUCUCUAAACAUUGCAAAAUUACAGCUCACAGAGGGAUUCUAGCAAAUUACGUUUAAGCAGUAUAAAUCUAAGACUCAGACCGUAUAAAAUAAUUCUUCUCUCUUGCCUCCUAGCUCAGUGCUGUGCUAAGGGAAAAACAAUUAGCAAAUGCCCUACAAUCAUCUUAGAAGUAAACCUACACUGGAGUUACCUCUGGAGUGCACAUACAUGCAUCCUGGCUCCUGGGAAGCAACCUCUUUUCCAUGCACCUCAAGUGGGAUGUUGCUGCAAGUCAGACCCCUCUUAAAUCAGAGACAGAAACGCUGAUAAUUUCAUGUGUUCCUGCUCCUGCAUCAGUUUAGACUCAUGGUUUAAAGUCUCUAUAUGCAACCAACAAAAUUAAAAUAGUUGCCAUCAUGAAUUAAAGCAAGCUCCAAGGUUUAAGCAAAACAAAAUCAACAACUCAUGGCAGAAUCAUACACAAUGGUAACACUGACUUUCUCACAGCUUUCCCUUUCCCUGUUCAAUCUUUUGCUUCCCUCCCUCCUACAUCUCUCUCAUACACACUCCCUCUCCAACACAGGUUCUACCCUUCAAAGAUACCGCUGAGCUUUUCAAUUAUCUUAUUUCCAUGAACUUCUCCAAGCUCUUCUAGCAAGAUGAUUCUGCCAAACCUACCUGGUGACUUUGCUUAAACUUGUAGUUUAUGGAACUUGAAAGCAAGCCAUUUGCCUCUGCCUCUAGGAAAGUUGUAUACAGACAGACCUGUCCUACACACCUGACAAGUCAAAUUGCUCCCAAGAGGAAUGAUCCCUGGUCCUCCUCCUUUAUUAGCAAUGGAAACUCUUUACCUCACCUUUUCUUCAGCUUCAGGUUGUAACAACUUAUCUAAUAAGCUAUUUGCUAGCUUUGGCCUCGUAUUUCCCAUAUAGAAAUGCAGCCCAAUCGUCUGCCAAAGAGUAUCUGCCCAGCCUUGCUGCAGCUCUGUACCUCCUGGCCCUUGCUGUGCUCCACGAAACACAUGCAAAUACCAUACCUCACCCCCAUAACCCAAAACGAGGCAGAAAGAGGCGUUUGGGAGAUAAUGUCUAUAGCAUUCUGUCAAUUAAAUGUGCAUUUUCCACAACAGACUG
rnacentral:lncRNA from 1 species